rnacentral:rRNA from 1 species
GCAACGCCGCGUGAGUGAGUGAAAGGUUUUCGGAUCGUAAAGCUCUGUUGUAGGGAAGAACAAGUACCGUUCGAAUAGGGCGGUACCUUGACGGUACCUAACCAGAAAGCCACGGCUAACUACGUGCCAGCAGCCGCGGUAAUACGUAGGUGGCAAGCGUUAUCCGGAUUAUUGGGCGUAAAGCGCGCGCAGGCGGUUUCUUAAGUCUGAUGUGAAAGCCCACGGCUCAACCGUGGAGGGUCAUUGGAAACUGGGGAACUUGAGUGCGGAAGAGAAAAGCGGAAUUCCACGUGUAGCGGUGAAAUGCGUAGAGAUGUGGAGGAACACCAGUGGCGAAGGCGGCUUUUUGGUCUGUAGCUGACGCUGAGGCGCGAAAGCGUGGGGAGCAAACAGGAUUAGAUACCCUGGUAGUCCACGCCGUAAACGAUGAGUGCUAAGUGUUAGAGGGUUUCCGCCCUUUAGUGCUGCAGCUAACGCAUUAAGCACUCCGCCUGGGGAGUACGGUCGCAAGACUG